AUUAUUAUUAAAGUGAAUAGAUUAUUUUAACUUUGACUUAAUUUCUAACUAACCUGAAAUAAUAAUGUAAAAUAUUAGACUAGAUAAGGAUUUCCUUCUCUGUCUUUUUAAACACUCUCUAAAGCUAGUAGCGACAGCUCUUUGUUCGAGUCUUUGUUUCAUCAUAGACCUACACCAAACAAGGAGGAUCAAGGGGGUGCAGUGUCACUCCCAUGGGGUGGAGCAAUCAGGAGCAUCGUGUCGGCCAUUAUGUCAUAUUAGAGUAAAUGAGCUUCACACCGACACUGCUCAACGACUUCAUGCACUCUGUGCCGAGUGGAACGAUAAACUCUCGCUGUUUAAAGGAGAGGAAGAGGACACUGGUCGGAAAGAAGAGGACACUGGUCAUCCCAGUCAUGAAGUGAUAGACGAUACGACAGUGGGUCAGGCUCAACUAAUCAUGACACAGAAAUUGAAACAAUAUCUUCAAUUAAUGCAACAAGCUGAGGACCCACAGCUGAGUCUAGAACAAUGGCCAAAGAUCUCCAAGGGGUUCUGGGACACGGUGAACUCGUCCGUUGAGUAUAUUUAUAUGAAAUUCUCUAAGAUACGGGAAAACGUUCUUAUUAGAAAGCUGUGUCCAAUAUUUUACUUGUUAUUAAUUAAUUAUUCAUUUAUAGA
rnacentral:lncRNA from 1 species